rnacentral:rRNA from 1 species
GAUGAACGCUGGCGGCGUGCUUAACACAUGCAAGUCGAACGGUGAAGGCGGAGCUUGCUCUGCUGGAUCAGUGGCGAACGGGUGAGUAACACGUGAGCAAUCUGCCCCUGACUCUGGGAUAAGCGCUGGAAACGGCGUCUAAUACUGGAUACGAGCUGCGAAGGCAUCUUCAGCAGCUGGAAAGAACUUCGGUCAGGGAUGAGCUCGCGGCCUAUCAGCUUGUUGGUGAGGUAACGGCUCACCAAGGCGUCGACGGGUAGCCGGCCUGAGAGGGUGACCGGCCACACUGGGACUGGGACACGGCCCAGACUCCUACGGGAGGCAGCAGUGGGGAAUAUUGCACAAUGGGCGGAAGCCUGAUGCAGCAACGCAGCGUGAGGGACGACGGCCUUAGGGUUGUAAACCUCUUUUAGCAGGGAAGAAGCGAGAGUGACGGUACCUGCAGAAAAAGCGCCGGCUAACUACGUG